rnacentral:tRNA from 1 species
CGGGAUGUAGCGCAGCUUGGUAGCGCGUCCGCUUUGGGAGCGAAAUGCCGCAGGUUCAAAUCCUGCCAUCCCGA